GACGAACGCUGGCGGCGUGCUUAACACAUGCAAGUCGAACGGAAAGGCCCUGCUUUUGUGGGGUGCUCGAGUGGCGAACGGGUGAGUAACACGUGAGUAACCUGCCCUUGACUUUGGGAUAACUUCAGGAAACUGGGGCUAAUACCGGAUAGGAGCUCCUGCUGCAUGGUGGGGGUUGGAAAGUUUCGGCGGUUGGGGAUGGACUCGCGGCUUAUCAGCUUGUUGGUGGGGUAGUGGCUUACCAAGGCUUUGACGGGUAGCCGGCCUGAGAGGGUGACCGGCCACAUUGGGACUGAGAUACGGCCCAGACUCCUACGGGAGGCAGCAGUGGGGAAUAUUGCACAAUGGGCGGAAGCCUGAUGCAGCAACGCCGCGUGCGGGAUGAAGGCCUUCGGGUUGAAAACCGCUUUCGCCUGUGACGAAGCGUGAGUGACGGUAAUGGGUAAAGAAGCACCGGCUAACUACGUG
rnacentral:rRNA from 1 species